GCUUCAAAAAAUAAGAUGGAUGGGUGGAUGAGGUACGUGGAACAAAGAAAAUCUCAUGAACUGUUCAUUGUAGAAUUGAGGUAAUGGACAAAUUGAUGUGUUCUUUGUUCAACUCUUUCAACUUUUCCAUUAUGUUUAGAAAUUUUCAUAAUAAAAUGUUUAUGGAAAAUGUGUCCCCUGCCUCCAUCCCAUUCUCUGGCCACCCAAAUCCUCCUACCAGCUUCUCGCGUGUCCCGUUGGCAAUAAUCUAGUUGGCAAAGGACACACAACAGUCUUUGUCUUACCCAAACACCAGACUGUUCCAUGCUCUGUUUGUUCCUUGAUUAAGAGAAACCCCUCAAUUGGGUCGGGCGCAGUGCCUCACGCCUGUAAUCCCAGAACUUUGGGAGGCCAAGGCGGGUGGAUCAACUGAGGUCAGGAGUUCGAGAAGAGCCUGGCCAACAUGGUGAAAGCCCGUCUUUACUAAAAAUACAAAAAACUAGCCGGGCAUGGUGGUGCACACUGUAAUCCCAGCUACUUGGGAGGCCAAGGCAGGAGAAUCGCUUGAACCCAGGAGGCGGAGGUUAGAGUGAGCCAAGAUAGCGCCAUUGCACUCCAGCCUGGGCAACAAGAAUAAAACUCCUUCUCAAAAAAAAAAAAAAAAAAAAAGGAAACCUCUCAGUUGAAACGCUGCCCCCUGAGCUGCCCCAAGCAAUCAAAGGAGGAAGCCCCUCUGUAGACCUCCCAGCUGCCCAUCAGCCCCAGACCCUCACCCUCCUGCUCACUGAGCCCCAUUGAAUCUAAUCCCUCAUCCUCCACAAUCUGAGUCACAUAGCAGACAGGGAAAUGUAGUCUUUACCUGGGUGGCCAUCUUAGAAAAAAUGGACCAUGGAUGGUCUCUUGGCAGAGAUUCUCCAGGAAGGGGCCAAGGGAAGCUCUCUGAAGCGAUCAUAAUUUUCUGUAUCUUGAUAGAGGUUGGGCCCCCCAUCCCCCGCAAUCCCCUCUUCUAAGCACCUUCCUGCCACCUGAGGGCCUUAUGAAACCUUGCUGGUUCCUUCCCAGUAAAGCUGUUAACCCAUCUCCUGUUAACCCCUUAUCCUUCCCCCUGCUUCAGGAUAAAUGGGCGGGAGGAAUCCUCCUGUGCGCCGCCUGGGCUCUUGGUCCUCUUGGUUUCUUCUAGGUCUUGGUGCAUGGGCUUCCUCGCCACCCUUUCUAGUUGGGCCUCCUGGUGAGCCACUCCAGAGGAGGGAGCCAUGGACUCGGACUGGGUCUGGGAGGGAGUCCUCAGGGAGGGGAUGGCUUGGUGAGGUCUUAAAAGAUAGGCAGGCUCUCCAGUGGAGACAGAAACUGCGUUCCAGGCUGAUACACACACACACACACACACANNNNNNNNNNAAAAUACACACACACA
rnacentral:lncRNA from 1 species